ACCUGGGUGGCUCAGUAGGUUGAGUGUCUGACUUCGGCUCAGAUCAUGAUCUCAUAGUUCGUGGGUUCAAGCUCCAUGUCAGGCU
rnacentral:tRNA from 1 species